GGUCCGUUGGCCCAAUGGUAGGGCGUUGCUUUCCGGUUUCGAGCGUAAGAAGAUAUGUUCGGCCACUGGCAAAGAUUCUGGGUUCGAUCCCCAGGCGGAUCG